rnacentral:rRNA from 1 species
GACGUAGGGGGCGAGCGUUGUCCGGAGUUACUGGGCGUAAAGAGCGCGCAGGCGGUCUGCUAAGUUCUGAGUGACAAUCACCAGCUUAACUGGUGAAGGACUUCGAAAACUGGCGGACUUGAGAGCGAGAGAGGGACACGGAAUUCCGGGUGGAGCAGUGAAAUGCGUAGAGAUCCGGAGGAACACCAAAGGCGAAGGCAGUGUUCUGGUUCGUUUCUGACGCUGAGGCGCGAAAGCCAGGGGAG